rnacentral:rRNA from 1 species
UCUUAGUGGCGGACGGGUGAGUAACGCGUGGGUAACCUGCCUUACACAGGGGGAUAACAGUUAGAAAUGACUGCUAAUACCGCAUAAGACCCCGGUACCGCAUGGUACAGAGGUAAAAACUGAGGUGGUGUAAGAUGGACCCGCGUCUGAUUAGGUAGUUGGUGAGGUAACGGCUCACCAAGCCGACGAUCAGUAGCCGGCCUGAGAGGGUGGACGGCCCACAUUGGGACUGAGACACGGCCCAGACUCCUACGGAAGGCAGCAG